GUGUAUGUCAAGGCUGCUCUUCUGAAUGGAGGAUUUAAAAUCCCAAGACAGUGGAUCAGGAAUAUUGUGAGUGAAAUUGAUCCUGAAGGUCUGAUCGAAAGAGCUCUCAAACCAAGAUACCAAGGGGAGUGUAUUGGGUAUCGAGAGCUAUGUAUUUGUUGCCGAAGUAUGAUACCGGUAUGGUACCUAUGACAUCGGUCCAGCAAAUGGAGCAAGUUAAUGGAAACUCACCAAGUUGCAUCACGUGCGGAUCGAGAAAAAUGAGGUUUGAAGCUUCAUUCUUCCAGCUGAAGACUAUAUGAAUAACAUUUAACGACUAUUUUCAUGUUUGAAAUAUUUUUUAUCGUCAUUGAAUUUUUUUCCGGAGGAAAUUCACGACUUUAGUUUACGACAAACGACAAUCAUCGUAAACAAUCAAGACUGGUCACGUAUCUAAGUAGCAACGUUAUUUCUCGUUUCUAAAAAAACGGCGCAAAUUUAAGUAAAAUAGGUUCCUACCCUAAGUACCCUAAAGUUACCCUAAGUAAAAUAGGUAAAAUACCUACCUAUUGCGUUCGAAGGCAUGAGAGGAGAACACUCAAACAUGGUAACAUUUUUUGUGGAACAUUCUUUUCAUACGCUGCGUUUCAGAGUCCUUAGCGUGUUUCACGAAUUGCACUCCAUUCUCAGUGGACCCCCAUUUACGGACGGGAGAAAAAGUAGGAGAACAAUUGAGCCGAGUUCUCGCCCAUUUUCCCCUCGCGUCACAACUUUUGACGAGCAGAGAGGGUAGGCCAAGAGCCCCUACCGGCGAGUUUGUCAUGCAAAGAGUGAAUUGUUUUCAUCUAUCAUCGGUAACAUAAUGUUAAUCUUCAUCUUUCUCUGGUAAGGACUCUCAUGUCGACUCUCUCCGGGAAUGUUCAUUUUAUUGUUAGUUCUGCGGCGGUGGCAUUCAUUCUAUUCUGAGUCCUCCCGAUCAAAUGGCUCGUGUUGAUGUUGUAGAAGGUUCUUUUCUAAGCAACUUUCUACAAAAUACACUGAAGAGUAACCAAGUGGAAAUUAAUACCGACAGUCGAACUCUCCGCCCAGUUGCCAAACUAAAAGAACCACGGGACCUAUUUGCGUUGCCAAAAGAAAUAGACUGCCCGCAGCAAGCUGCAAGAUGGCCCUCAGAAUGCCAGGUCCUUGAGGAUCGCGUGAUUCACAUAGAAUAUACCCCACCAAUGCCCGAGUCAUAUUACCAACCAACAGGGAACGAAAUUCAGCCGAGACCAGUUGGUGAUGAAGCCGGUACAAUUGUCUUCCAAUAUUAUCCCACGAGUGCUGUCAACUAUUUGCUCAUCCCAGAACUCAAGGUUUCGAUGCACAUCGCCAAGCGCACACCACCUCGUUCAAGUGUCGGUGGUACCCGAUAUUACUUAUCAUCAUAUCCUCAAGAGAAUGAAGAUGAUCUUAGAUUUGAGUCUCGCUUUGAAUCAGGUAAUCUAGCCAAAGCUGUCAAAAUCACUGAGACUUACUACGAGUUGUCCCUCCGAACUGAUCUGUACACCAACCGGCAUAUGCAAUGGUUUUAUUUUCAAGUCUCCAAUACCAGGACCAAUAUUAUGUAUAGGUUUUCCAUCGUUAAUCUGUCAAAAGGCGAUAGCCUAUAUUCUUUUGGUAUGAAGCCGUUGUUGUACUCAACAAAAGAUGCAGCCUUGAAUCAGAUAGGUUGGAGAAGAUGCGGGGAUAACAUCAGUUACUUCCGGAAUGACUCGUAUGGCGAGGAGGAGCAGAAUGCAAACUACAUUCUGUCGUUCAACCUAGAGUUUCCACACGACAAUGAUGUUGUCUACUUAGCCCACUGUUACCCCUACACGUAUUCUGAUCUCCAAGACUACCUUAUCAAAUUACAGAAUCAUCCAAUAAAAUCAACUUACAGUAAGCUUCGUCUUCUCUGCCGAUCUCUUGCUGGCAAUAAUGUGUACUACCUCACUGUUACCUCUCCAUGUCUUCCAGAUGAACCUAAAAAAAGGAAAGCGGUUGUAAUCACCGGGAGGGUACAUCCUGGAGAGACACCUUCAUCCUGGAUGAUGAAAGGUUUCAUGGAUUACUUAACAGGAGACUCAGAGCAAGCUAAGGAACUCAGAGACAAAUUUAUCUUCAAACUAGUACCAAUGUUGAAUCCAGACGGAGUAAUCGUCGGUAACAAUCGUUGCUCACUCACAGGAAGAGACUUGAAUCGCCAGUACCGUACCGUCAUCAGAGAGACAUAUCCCUCUAUCUGGCACACAAAAUUAAUGAUUAGAAGACUGAUGGAAGAGUGUGGAAUCGUAAUGUAUUGUGAUCUCCAUGCCCAUUCAAGAAAACAUAAUGUGUUCAUUUACGGCUGUGAAAAUAAACGUUACCCUGAAAAACGACUCUACGAGCAAGUCUUUCCCUUGAUGUUACAUAAAAAUGCAGCUGACAAGUUUUCGUUUGAAAACUGCAAGUUCCGGAUUCAAAGAUCGAAAGAAGGCACCGGGCGUGUAGUCAUUUGGAUGAUGGGAGUUUGUAAUAGUUACACAAUGGAGGCCUCUUUUGGCGGCUCCACCAUAGGGAGUCGUGUUGAUACUCAUUUUUCCGCUCAAGAUUAUGAGAAUAUUGGGAGAGCAUUUUGUGAAACUCUCCUUGAUUUUUGCGAUGAAGAUCCGUGCAAGGUUAGUUAUUUGUUUCUUCUGCCCGUCUGA
rnacentral:lncRNA from 1 species